rnacentral:rRNA from 1 species
UACGAAGGGGGCUAGCGUUGCUCGGAAUUACUGGGCGUAAAGGGAGCGUAGGCGGAUAGUUUAGUCAGAGGUGAAAGCCCAGGGCUCAACCUUGGAAUUGCCUUUGAUACUGGCUAUCUUGAGUACGGAAGAGGUAUGUGGAACUCCGAGUGUAGAGGUGAAAUUCGUAGAUAUUCGGAAGAACACCAGUGGCGAAGGCGACAUACUGAUCCGUUACUGACGCUGAGGCUCGAAAGCGUGGGGAGCAAACAGG